UACGUAGGGUGCGAGCGUUGUCCGGAAUUAUUGGGCGUAAAGAGCUUGUAGGCGGUUUGUCGCGUCUGCUGUGAAAAUCCGGGGCUCAACCCCGGACUUGCAGUGGGUACGGGCAGACUAGAGUGUGGUAGGGGAGACUGGAAUUCCUGGUGUAGCGGUGAAAUGCGCAGAUAUCAGGAAGAACACCCGUGGCGAAGGCGGCUCUCUGGGACGUGACUGACGCUGAGACGCGAAAGCGUGGGGAGCGAACAGG
rnacentral:rRNA from 1 species